UCUGUUGACACUGUUGAUAAAAGGAACUUGGUCAAAUGCGUCCAAGAAGGAAACAAGGGCCGUAAAAGAGAAGGAAGUUAUUACCUGAAUGUUGACAACUGGUAGGCAUAGUUCUGGUUCUGAGUUUCGUUUCAGUUGAGUUUCCAUAAACGCUCUCAUUGACUUGUUAUGAUUAAACUCUUAGUUCUUAAUCUUGUCUUGAGAGUGUGUUGAAUUACCCCGUUAUUACAAUCGAUAAUGAUAUCAGAUACACCUUUAUAUUUUUUCUAGUUUCCUUUGAUCUCAAAAUUCUCAAAUAUACAUUAUUAACUAACUGCUAAAAUGUACUCAUUUCUGUACUUCUGGGAAUGGGUCGAAGAACACCCAGUUCAUAGAAAAAACGAAGAUGAUCUUCAGUAAAGAACAAAUUCCAAAUAUCCACUGUGGAUAAGUAGAAUCAGAGCUGAUACACCGGGUGUGUGCAUGGGAAAGCAAACAUUGCAUUGCAUACGCUCUAGAAUAUUUGAACUUUUCCUGUACCUCAUAUUUCAGAUCCAUUUUGUCUUCUGGGAAGAGAGGAAGAAAAUACAUUUACGAGAAGGCAGUUUUUGUGAAGGUGUAGCACUCAAGAGGGCACUCCAUGCAAUUACUGCUAUCUUUGGAAAUGAUAUAUGCCUAUUUUUUGAAAACAAAAAUGUGAAUUUGGACAGAAGUCUUUGUUGAAGGCAAUGGAAAUCAGUGACUUUGAUCUUAUGUGUAUCAAAUAGAAAAAAAUAAGAAUUUGAUCCCAACUAUUGCACACUACCUUCAGAUUAUGCAGGAUGUCGUUUUUAGACGCUAGAUAUAUUAUCACGAGGACGAUUUCCUCUCCGAGUCAGUUUCACCCUGUCCACGUUUAAACUAAACUCAGAACUAUAUAUUGAAUAUUAGAAUAUUGGACAUAUAUUGAACGGGAUAUUGUUUCGAUUCCAAUCGAAUGCUUUUUCAUUCUAUUGCACGUUAUAGAUUGUAGGAAGGUUUUAUGAAUUUUAGGGGAAAAAAAACCUUAAGGCUCUUGUACGGAACAUGAAAUAA